rnacentral:rRNA from 1 species
GACGAACCGUACGAACGUUAUUCGGAAUCACUGGGCUUAAAGGGUGCGUAGGCGGCGCGACAAGUUGGGUGUGAAAUCCCUCGGCUCAACCGAGGAACUGCGCCCAAAACUGUCGUGCUCGAGGGAGACAGAGGUGAGCGGAACUUAGGGUGGAGCGGUGAAAUGCGUUGAUAUCCUAAGGAACACCGGUGGCGAAAGCGGCUCACUGGGUCUCUUCGUGACGCUGAGGCACGAAAGCUAGGGUAGCGAACGGG